rnacentral:rRNA from 1 species
GAUGAACGCUAGCGGCAGGCCUAACACAUGCAAGUCGAGGGAGAGGUUACCUUCGGGUAACCAAAACCGGCGCACGGGUGCGUAACGCGUAUACAAUCUGCCUUUCACAUAGGGAUAGCCCGAAGAAAUUUGGAUUAAUACCUAAUGGUAUAUAAGAGCGGCAUCGUUUUUAUAUUAAAGCUACGGUGGUGAAAGAUGAGUAUGCGUUCUAUUAGCUAGUUGGAGAGGUAACGGCUCCCCAAGGCGACGAUAGAUAGGGGUUCUGAGAGGGAUGUCCCCCACACUGGUACUGAGCUACGGACCAGACUCCUACGGGAGGCAGCAGUGAGGAAUAUUGGAAAAUGGUCGGAAGACUGAUCCAGCCAUGCCGCGUGCAGGAUGAAGGUCCUAUGGAUUGUAAACUGCUUUUGUAAGGGAAGAAUAAGGAGUACGUGUACUUUGAUGACGGUACCUUACGAAUAAGCAUCGGCUAACUCCGUG